UAUCGCUUGGUUGCAAUACAUCAGUGCAACGUUUGGGAAAAGCGAACCCGAGGAAAUUACUUGCAGUGUUUCUGUACCAUCAAAAAGCGGUAAAGGGCUGUGGGUGAGCGGUCUUGACAGAUGCACAAAGGAAUUUGACAUUUGAGCUGUAGAUGAUGUGAUUCACAGUAGGGUCCACUGUUAGCAAGAACAUCAGAACAUGCACAUGUGUCCUGAAACACAUCAUACCAGUGUAAUGUUGCAAUCAUCUGCAGAAAUAUACUUAAAAAGGUAAUGUUCUGUUCUCUGAGGAUAUUUUCUAAGAAACACAACUUGACAGGUCUCUCUUUGCCUCUGUUUUGAGAGCUGGUAUACUGCUUCAAGUACUUGAUACCAUGUCUGUGGGUGGUAAUUUCACUUACAAAAUUUCAAAUGUUUAUUUUUAUUUGUGGUAAGAUCAAACUUCUAAGAUAUGUAGGCACCUCUGUCUCUUUGUUGCAAUACCUUUGUCACUUUAGUGGGGCCUGUCUUCUGCUACAGUUUUUUUUCCUGCCAAAAACAUAUUUUAUUUAUGUGUUUAUUCUUAUCAUAGCACUUCACUUAGUAGUUCUGGGCAUAACACAAGGUACCACUUUAUUUGAAUGUAGAGCAGUCCACUUCAGAAAGUUGACAAUAAAAUACAAGGUUUAAGGCAACAGAAAGAUACCAGUAAACAGGGCAGCACAAUAAUACUGUGCCAUCAUUGGCCCAAGCCAAACUCAUGCUGCCGAUUAGUAUUCAGUGAGACAGAUAAGUAUUUGUACAUUUUUUGAGGGCCAAGGUAGAAAGGAGGAAUCACUGGGGAAGUCCAUGGUGAAUAGUCGGCAGUGAAACAGAAGCAUUGUGCUAUCGGGGCAAGUCAUGCUGCUGUUAAGUGUUACGAAGUGAUAAUGUAGCCUCAGCUCCAAAGAUGUACCAAGAACAAAGAAAGCCACAGAGGUUUUUUUUAAUCUUUUCAAAAAAAUGGAGCAUAAGCUUGCACAAGUCAGUGGCCUCAUGUCUCAUCUUUGAGCUGUUCCUUUCCAUGCAGCUGUUCCUUUACAAUAGAGAUUCACACUUAAAGCAACUUCUGUAGUUAAAAUCUGGCUCAGUUUUACACACACAAUAACCUCCUCGGGUUAUUUUUUGUCAAUUCAUGAAUGAGACAAGUUCAAGGGAGCUCUGCACAGGGAAUUCUUCAGUAGAUGGCACUCUUCUCUCUGCUGAGGGAUUUGAUACAAUGAGAGCUACUUCCUUUAUGUUCUACAGAAAUCGCAAGGAAUACCAAUAAAGCUCUGCCUAACUAUGCAAUAAAGUAACCCCUCACUGUUUUUCACAGAUCUGGAGCUCUCAAGUCCUGGCGCCUGGCUUCCUCCCUGUUUAGAUCAUGAAAGUCUAUUUCUGUUCAGUCUGAAUUCCUCUUGAAAUCUUAAUGGUGAAUAUUCUUUAUUUUUUAAAAAAGAGCUUAGUAGUAGUUAUGUAAGUUACACGCAUCAGAAUUUGAGUGUAGAACUAUUCAGCUUGUGCAGCCAUUUUGCUCUAGUUCAUGGUUUUAUGUUACUAUUCUGUCAAUGACAAAUCCAGUUUAAGAACUUGCUAAACUAUCAUCGGUGUGUUGAUUUUUUUGUUGCUCUUUGAAACCACAAAAUUUCAUAGAUCCAGUUUAAAAAGCAGUCACACUGAAUUAGUGUAAGUGAGGCGGUAACAUUAGGAAAGGGGGCAAUAAAAACCUGCCAGGCAUUAGGGGGCCAUCACCUCUUAAAUCAGAUCUGCUUGAUAACCAAGUAAUACAUAGCCAUGGCUUUACAGCUUUCUAAAGUGUACAUUGUUUUCCUUGUCCCUGAAUAGGAGGGUGAGAGAAAAGAGUGAAAAUAAAUUUGUAUAAGACAAAAGAUUGCAAGAAAAAAUUAAGUGCGGCAAAUUCAUAAAAUGCAAAAUAUAAAGAGAUGAAUUAGUUCAUAUUUUUAAAGUUUUGGAUUCUGGAGUCAUAUUAUUUCAAUUCACUGCUUUUUAAGCACUUCUUUAAGUAUCUCUUUUAUUGGACUGGCGCACUUUUCUUCAUCCUUGCCUCUUUCCUAUGCUCUCCAAAAGACCCUUAGCCACUCAUUAAAACCACAAAGAUGGUAAUAUUUCUAAAAUCUGGAGCCUGGAGCUAUCAUAUAUUCAUUUUCUUCAUUUAAAAGGGAAGGAUUUGCUACCAUGGUUGAAAUAAAGCUGUCAGCACCUGUUUUUUCCAGUAUUAAUGCUGGAGCCUGAGCAUUUUGACCUGUUGGAAUGAAGAGGCCCUAAGUAAUGUGUGGAAGAGGAAUAUGAGUAUUAUUUGUGUACAUCCCUACAGUGCCAGUCAACUUUUGAGCAAUGGAAAAGUAUGCACCGUUGAGAACUAUUUAAAGGGCAUCCUAUUACAAAAACUGAUUCAAGCAGUGGCAUUCUACAUGAGGGAAAUGACAGCUGAAUUUAAUGACAAAUAAAUGUAAUCUUAGACGUCUUUUUCUUUCUUAAUUCAAAACAAAGCAAAUCGGCUCCUCACGCAUAAGGGACUGGAGCCAAGAUCAAUGCUUUCUGUCCUUGGGAGAAACUACACAGCAGCUAAAAUGUUGGACCACUGUGCUACAAACAUGGCAUAAAUGAAUUACCAGCACCUUCAUCUCUAUAUCCAUUCAGUCCUGCAGCUCUCUUUUGAAAGAGUAACAGCUACAAAAUUCAUCUAUUAUCUGGCAAAUAGAUUAAAACUUUCAAAUGCAUUUCAUACAGAAUUCCAAAUAGUCUUCACACAGGAAGGUUACUAAUUGGGAACCUCUUACUUUUGUUCAUGGCUGAAUGGAGGUGUGUUGGACAGGCUUUUUUUAACACUUUACAAAGGAAAUGAUUUUUUACAUUUCUUUGGGGAAAAAGGGGGGAUGUGAGGUGUGAGGCUUCUUUUUUGGAACAUGUUCUUUAAACAAAUAAAAGCAAAAUGAUUUAACAGUAA